rnacentral:rRNA from 1 species
UACAGAGGUCUCAAGCGUUGUUCGGAUUCAUUGGGCGUAAAGGGUGUGUAGGUGGCGCGCUAAGUCGGGUGUGAAAUUUCGGAGCUUAACUCCGAAACUGCAUUCGAUACUGGCGUGCUUGAGGACUGGAGAGGAGACUGGAAUUUACGGUGUAGCAGUGAAAUGCGUAGAUAUCGUAAGGAAGACCAGUGGCGAAGGCGGGUCUCUGGACAGUUCCUGACAGCUGAGACACGAAGGCCCAGGGGAGCAAACGGGG